GGGGACGAGCUGGCGCGCGG
rnacentral:miRNA from 1 species